AACGUAGGCGGUCCGGUAAGUCGGAUGUGAAAGCCCUUGGCUUAACCAAGGAAGUGCAUUCGAAACUGUCGGACUUGAGUAUGGUAGAGGGUCGCGGAAUUCCCGGUGUAGAGGUGAAAUUCGUAGAUAUCGGGAGGAACACCAGUGGCGAAGGCGGCGACCUGGGCCAAUACUGACGCUGAGGUUCGAAAGCGUGGGGAGCAAACAG
rnacentral:rRNA from 1 species